UGGGGAAUCUUGCACAAUGGGGGCAACCCUGAUGCAGCGACGCCGCGUGAGCGAUGAAGGUUUUCGAAUCGUAAAGCUCUGUCCUAUGGGAAGAUAAGGACGGUACCAUAGGAGGAAGCCCCGGCUAACUACGUCCCAGCAGCCGCGGUAAUACGUAGGGGGCGGGCGUUGUCCGGAAUUACUGGGCGUAAAGGGUUCGCAGGCGGCAUGGCAAGUCCGAUGUAAAAGGCGAAGGCUCAACCUUCGUAAGCAUCGGAAACUGUCAAGCUUGAGUGAAGGAGAGGCAAGUGGAAUUCCUAGUGUAGCGGUGGAAUGCGUAGAUAUUAGGAGGAAUACCGGUGGCGAAGGCGACUUGCUGGACUUCAACUGACGCUGAGGAACGAAAGCGUGGGUAGCAAACAGG
rnacentral:rRNA from 1 species